UACGAAGGGGACUAGCGUUGUUCGGAAUUACUGGGCGUAAAGCGCACGUAGGCGGAUUUGUAAGUCAGGGGUGAAAUCCCGGGGCUCAACCUCGGAACUGCCUUUGAUACUGAAGAUCUUGAGUUCGGGAGAGGUGAGUGGAACUGCGAGUGUAGAGGUGAAAUUCGUAGAUAUUCGCAAGAACACCAGUGGCGAAGGCGGCUCACUGGCCCGAUACUGACGCUGAGGCACGAAAGCGUGGGGAGCAAACAGG
rnacentral:rRNA from 1 species